GUGGGGAAUAUUGGACAAUGGGGGGAACCCUGAUCCAGCCAUGCCGCGUGUGUGAAGAAGGCCUUUUGGUUGUAAAGCACUUUAAGCGAGGAGGAGGCUACCGAGAUUAAUACUCUUGGAUAGUGGACGUUACUCGCAGAAUAAGCACCGGCUAACUCUGUGCCAGCAGCCGCGGUAAUCCAGAGGGUGCAAGCGUUAAUCGGAUUUACUGGGCGUAAAGCGCGCGUAGGUGGCCAAUUAAGUCAAAUGUGAAAUCCCCGAGCUUAACUUGGGAAUUGCAUUCGAUACUGGUUGGCUAGAGUAUGGGAGAGGAUGGUAGAAUUCCAGGUGUAGCGGUGAAAUGCGUAGAGAUCUGGAGGAAUACCGAUGGCGAAGGCAGCCAUCUGGCCUAAUACUGACACUGAGGUGCGAAAGCAUGGGGAGCAAACAGGAUUAGAAACCCCAGUAGUCC
rnacentral:rRNA from 1 species